rnacentral:lncRNA from 1 species
GAUCAAAAAGGAAGGAGAGUGGGAAAAUGAGGGAAGAGACUGGCCUUCCACCAACUACACGAUAAAGUUCCAAAUGACCAGGAGAGAAUACUGCAUAUUUUUUUUUCCUGAGGUUUUGUCCUUUACUGUAAGCAAACAACUCAUAAAUGCACUUUUGUAAAUCAGUGAAAAAUAGUAUAUGUGGUUCACAUUGAAGUUUCU